UCAAGCUAGGAGGAAUUUAAUAUAACUCACCCACAGAAACGAUCAAAAACCUCGGGAAUUAAUGAAAUAAUGUAUCCCAUUCCCGCAUACGAGAGUUGACUAAUGCGGCGGGAAUGAAUAGGUCAUGAUACUGAUUAGAUAAUGGCGUCCUAUAUUUGUGUGUGUGAAUGUGUAUGUGUGAUGAAGGCACCAGCUCAAAGAUAAAGCUCCCUGUCAGUGCUUAGUAAAGCCAUCUACAGCUAACACCUCGUCACCCUCCUCUACAUCUUCCUCUCUUUGCAUACAACAUACACAGGUAUCGGCGCUAUGGAACACGAUUCUGCAGCGGUAAUAGCGGAGACGAGUGCUGGAGGUGGAGGAGGGGGUGAGCAGGAGUCUCUUCAGGCGGAACUGGAGAAACUGGAGACCGAGAAAAGGAAACUGGAAAAGAGACUGCAGGAGACGAAGGAGGUACUGGUGUGUCGCGUGUGCCUGGACCGCCCCGUGGCUGCCGUCUUCAUGCCCUGCGCCCACCUCAGCACGUGCGUCACCUGUUCCACCUCCCUCACCACCUGCCCGCUCUGCCGCUCCCCGAUACACUACGCUGCCAAUGUCAUCCUCUAACAAACGCACCCAACCCUCCAACUGUGUGAUCUUCCUUCGCUCCUUCUCUCGCAUAAUUUUAUCUCUUACCUGUAAUGCACUAACCUUUCCUGUAUAUCGAUCCUUCUGUCGUUCUUUUGCAUAUACGGCUCACCUAAUACUAAUCUUAGGUAUCCCAUUCUUCCACUGUGACCUUCCUUCCCUCCUUCUCUCGUGCAUCUCUUGCCUGUUACCUCUAAUCACUUAUCUGUCCUCUCUGUUUUCCUUUCUGUUGUUCUUUUGCAUAUACGUCUUAGCUAUUAACCCUCUACGGCAUCCCAUUCGUCCAUUAUGUCCCCUUUCUUCUGCUAUUCUCUCGCUGCUCUUGCCUAUUACCUCUGCUCAAUCCACUAUCUCCUUUUCUCGUCCUCUUUUCAUCUUGUGACGCCAUCGAUCUUGUGAUAAUGGCCCCCCUUUCUGUUGCUCUCUCGUAUGCCUGUUGUCUGUUACCUCAAAACAUUCCAGUGUCUCUUCUCGCAUCCUCGUUUCAUUCGGUAUAACGCCUUAGAUCAUGUAAUUCACCAACGUAACUUUUCCACCUAAUCACCUCUCUUCUUUCACCCCUAUUUCAUCUUGUAACCCCUUCGAUAUAGUCAUUCUCUAAUGCAACUGUUACCAAUUCACUCCUUUUAAACUCCUACGUGCUUUUUAUCGGUCUAUUUAUGCCUCAACUUCUAACCCCCGCCCCUGUCUCUUUUAUCAUCCUGUAAUGCCUGACCUUGGCUCCUCUUGGCUAUACGUAUUCCCUUUGCAUCCUAUUUACGACGCAGCUCUUGUACUGGAUGCGUGUACAGUGUUAUAAACGUCUAAGUUUGUAUGAUUGUAGGAACCAUUAUAUACCUACUGGAUAUAAUCAAUGACAAUACUUUCCUGUCUAUGGGCCACUCGUGUUUGUUAGUCUCAUGUAUCAGAUUGGUGCUACUUACUCUUAAAGCUGUUAGAGAAAUGGCAAUCUUGUAGCUAUUUAACACUUGAAUGAUGAGUGACUGACGUAGCUUAGUGUGUGUGUGUGUGUGUGUGUGUGUGUGUGUGUGUGUGUGUGUCAUAAAACAAAAUCAAAUGAAUUUUUUUCUAAUAAUGUCACCUCCAUAGAAAGGAUAAUAAAUCAAUGGGUAUAAGCUAUAUAUUACUGAUGUUACCUAUAACUUAAUCUCGUAUUUACUCAAAUAUAUGUCAACAUAAUCUUCGGAAUUGUGAAUAAAGUUUAAACGACCAAAAGA